GGAAGGCAAACGUGUCCGGUGAUGCGGGCGGGCUUCAAACCCGUCAGGGGAUGUCUAUCAUUCUCUCGUAAGUUCGACUCUUACUGUCUUCCGCCA
rnacentral:tRNA from 1 species